rnacentral:misc_RNA from 1 species
AGAACAGUCCGGGUGGACCCCUUCAAAAGCACACUCGGCGGCCAUGCCGGAGUCCCGCCGCGGCGCACCGCCGGUCUCAGCCGCCGCCGCCAAAGUCCUCUUCAACAAAUACGAGCUCGGCCGCCUCCUCGGCCGCGGCGCCACAGCCAAAGUCUACCACGCCCGCAACCUCCACACCGGCCACAGCGUAGCCAUCAAAUGCAUUCCCAAGCCCCGCGCCACCAAAAACGCCGGCGCCGGCCCCAGCGCCGGCCCCUCCCCCGCCAUCAUCGAACGCGAAGUCUCCAUCAUGCGCCGCCUCCGCCACCCCCACAUCCUCCGCCUCCUCGAAGUCCUUGCCUCUCGCACCAAAAUCUACUUCGUCCUAGAGCUCGCCAAGGGCGGCGAGCUCUUCGACCACCUCGCCGCCUCCUCCCGGCUCUCAGAAACCCAGUCCCGACUCUACUUCCAACAGCUGAUCUCCGCUGUCCACUACUGCCACGCCCGCGGUGUAUUCCAUCGAGACCUGAAGCCUGAAAACCUCCUCCUUGAUGACGCCG